GCCCAACCACAGAUAUAGUUCAUCUAAGGAUUCACUGUGCCACAUGUAUGUUUAACAUUGAAACAUGAUUAAUAAAAUGAUGCCAACAAUUAAUAUUUUCAUAGCUUAUGCACAAAGGGUAUGUA